UUUCUCAUGUGCUAUUCUUUAUCUCUGAGAUUCAGACAGCUGCCUGGUAGGAGCAUGGCAGACUGCCUGGUCAGGGAGUGACCACAUUAGGCCUUGGAACUGGCUGACAGGAUAGUGCUGGGGUAGCCAGCCUAGAGAUUUGUGGAUGUUGUACUCAGGGGGAUGAGGGAAUUAGUACUAUUAAGUAACAGUUCGUCUUAAUAAUCUUGAUGGUCUUUUUCAACCUAAGUGAUCCUCUGUGGCUAACAAUGCCCAAUCCUGCAGGCCUUGAAAUGGGUGCACACAUUACUGCCCCACUACAUCAAAGGCAGACAGAGCCUUGCAAACCUGAGAGGCACAAUUUCAUGUAUGCAUGUGUGUGUGUAUGGAGAGUGAAAGAUACAUCUCCACUUCUGUUGAGCACAAUUGGUGUUUCAGAAAGAAAUGUAAUCUUAGCAGAUCUAAUUGUACAUCCAGGACAGAUAUAGCAAACAACUGUGGCUUAAAAUUCAAAAAACUAUUAAUUAGGAUAAUUCAAGAUAGGUUAGACUAGGAACAGCCAACCUCAGAGCUCCCAAAAGACCUGCCAAGUGCUAGAUGUCCAGACCCAAACAGAUAUGCAGCUGUGCAUGUGCCACAAGCUCUACCAGUUGCCUGCAUGGUGCCCUGGUCUCAACUGCACUACGAAGCAGUCAGCAGGUGCUUAUGAAUGACCAGGAGGCAGCCUUAAUGGUGCAGUCCUUCAGGGCCAUUUUUUGGAUCCCACUGGGCUCAGUGCAAUGUGAAACACAUGUUUCUCAAUUAAUUAAGGCACUUCAAUGUGUUCUUAAUAUUUUUUUUGGUUUUUUUGGACUUUUCAUGAGAAAGAACUGUAUAAAUUUAAGAUGCGAUCACAAAUGAAAUCCAGUACGAAUAGCUGAAGUCAAUCAGUUUCAGUAAACCCAAUAAGCUAUUGCAAAUACAUAAUUUUAUCCAAGAAUUUGGCUAGCACUAUUGGGAUAGUUUUAGAUGCAUUUGCUGAACUAUCCUAUAAUUAUAGAGAAGCUUUUGGAAAUGCUUUCCUCCCACUUUUUUUUUUUUUUUUGUGUGUCAUAAAAAACAGACAAAUGAGGCAAACUGCCAUUGGCCAGGAGAACUGGAUCCGUCUUUGUACUGACAGACUUUACAGGGUUGCAAAGAUUUGUUGUCUUUUUGACAACUAGCAAGAGAAUGCGUAGGUUUAGUUUUGAGGCUGUCCUGACAAGGGAUUUUCUGAGAAUUGAUUCUCUUGUGAGACUUCUGACAUGUAAUUUAAACCAUCCCUACAGCACAUAUCCUGGGCUCUGAUGUACUGUAUCCCAGUGAGUGGGUUUGGAGAAAGAAACAGCUGCUGGAAGAAGAGCAGGUGUCAUUUUCUCAGCAGGGAUAAAAAUGACUGAAAGAGAAAUCUCUUUGGCUGAUGAGAGAAAAAUUAGAAGAAAGCUGGUGAAAAAUCCUGCAUCCGAUCAAAUGUUUGAGAAUCCCUGAAAAAUGGAUUAUGAAGAGUUGUAUGUGAACUGUCAGUAGAGUGAGAGUGUGAAAUGCAUGAUGAGAUAGUGACUUGCUGAAGACUUUUUCAACAUUUCAAUCAAUACCUAUCAGAGGAACUAGAGGAACUCUUCAAAUAAUCUGAAAGUAAG